rnacentral:rRNA from 1 species
GCAAUACCUGCCCAGUGCGAAAUAUUACUGUAAACGGCCGCCCUAGCGUGAGGGUGCUAAGGUAGCGAAAUUCCUUGCCUUUUGAUUGUAGGCCUGCAUGAAUGGUUUAACGAGGGUUUAACUGUCUCUAAAUUUUUUAUUGAAAUUGUACUGAAGGUGAAGAUACCUUCAUUAAAAAGUUAGACAAAAAGACCCCGUGCAACUUUGAAAAUUGACUUUAUUCAGGAGUAAAAGAUUUUUAGGUGGGGCGCCUAGAAAGUAAGCCUAACCUUUCUGAGUAACUAACUCUUUCCGGAUUUGACCCGAUUAUAUUCGAUCAUAGGAGAAGUUACGCCGGGGAUAACAGGCUAAUCCUUUAGUAGAGUUCGUAUUGGCUAAAGGGAUUGGCACCUCGAUGUUGAAUCAGGGAUAAUAGCUUCAAGGCGUAGAGGCUUUGA